rnacentral:misc_RNA from 1 species
GAAGCAGUAGAAAGAAGAGGGCGGUGCAAAGAACAGAAGGCUCAAUGGCUAGCAGCAACAAUUUCUUCCCGUCAGCAUCUGUCACCAGCAGCGGCCGCCCAGUGUUCCUUCCCAACGAGAUUGAAUGCCAACUUCUUUCAGCCGUGGACCUUGAAUCUGAUGAUGGCCCCAGCUUCCCUUCCCUCAAAUCAGGUCUCCUCAUCCUCACCACCCACCGCCUCAUCUGGAUCCCUUCCAAUUCCUCUGCCCAUUCCAAUGCCAUUGCUAUCCCUUUGUCCCUCAUCACCCAUAUAUUCUCUUCCAAAAAAUCCAUCAAAUCCAUCUUUCACUCCCCUCGGAUUCGCUUCCAAGUCUCCUUGAAUUCCAAGAGCCUUGUUGUCACAGUGGUGGCCAGAGGGAAGGGGGAUUGGGAUGGGUUUUUGCCUAAGUUCUGGGAGAAUUGGAGGGGAAGGGCUUGGGAGACUAGUGCUGGGGGUUCCACUGCUGAUGGUUCUGUUACAACUUCGAUUUCUGGUACAAGUUCUAAUUCAGGUGGGUUUUAUUUAAAUGAUGGGUCAGUGAGAAUGGUGGGAUUGGCAGGGAUACUAAGGAAGGAACAGGAGAUGUGGGAGAGUACGGACAAGAGCUUACAGGAGGCUUUCCAAGACUUGAAUGCACUAAUGAGCAAGGCUAAAGAGAUGGUGAUGCUAGCAGAGAAAAUGAGGCAAAAGCUCUUGUCUGGCUCAAACUCGGAAACUAAUGCAGGUAACAAUGAGGAAAUGGGUUCUAAAGAGGAGAUGCAAGAUUGGUUGUUAAGCGUUGGUAUCAUAUCUCCUGUAACAAAAGAAUCUGCGGGUGCCUUGUAUCAUCAACAGUUGUCUCGACAGUUGGCAGAUUUUGUAAGAACUCCACUAGAAAGAGCUGGAGGGAUGAUCAAUCUUAUAGAUAUCUAUUGUCUCUUUAAUCGUGCUCGGGGCACAGAAUUGAUCUCACCUGAGGAUUUGUUGCAAGCAUGUACUCUAUGGGAGAAAUUUGAUGCACCAGUCAUGCUUCGAAAGUUUGAUAGUGGAGUCAUGGUCAUCCAGAACAAGUCCCAUAGUGACGAGGAGGUUUUUACCCGGAUCAAAACCCUUGUCACAAAGCCUGAUGCCCUCCAAGCUGGAAUAACUGCUAGUGAUGCUGCAAUGACUUUGGGUAUUGCUCCGGCUAUGGCUAAGGAGCAUCUUCUAACUGCUGAGAGCAGAGGUAUACUAUGUAGGGAUAUAAGCCCUGAUGGCUUUCGCUUUUACAUUAACCUCUUUCCUGAAAUCGAUUCUGAUGACAUGCACAUGGUGAAAGAUCAUGGGAUUUAUUCUCUUUGGGUUCGGGUUGUAUCUGCUUAGUAAAAAGGCGUUCAUUUUUUGCUUUGAGUUGGAAUGACAACGCGGUGUUGAGAUUUCAUAGCCAUUGGCAGAGUUGUUGGGUCCGUGGCUGGUAAGUGUGUUGUUUACCUGAGAGCUGCAAUUUGUUUUAGGAUGCAGCUUUUAUUUUGAUCCUGGAAGCAAAAGUCAUAAGGCGCUAUUGUAAACGUUUCAAACAGCUGAAACAUUUAUUAUAUCUUGCUAGAACUGUUUUUUU